GCGGGCGUGGUGGAACUGGUAGACACGCAAGAUUUAGGUUCUUGUGGUUAAUACUGUGGGGGUUCGAGUCCCUUCGCCCGCACCA
rnacentral:tRNA from 1 species